UUCCAUGUGUUCUAGAGGUCAGGAUUCCUGGCUCUCACCCAGGCGGCCCAGGUGUGAUUCCCGGCAUGGGAA